GUCUGGUUGAUGCAUUCUAACCUCUGCGCCAGAGCGUGAUUAACGGCCAGGAUUCUCCUGAUGGGAGCCAUCCGAUGGCUGUAGAGGAUCGUACCUGCCUGGGUCACACUAGUUCAGGGUGGCUCAGAGGUUGUCUGACAGAC
rfam:Triticum aestivum genome assembly, contig: Triticum_aestivum_CS42_TGACv1_scaffold_513588_6BS